UACGGGGGGGGGCAAGCGUUGUUCGGAAUUACUGGGCGUAAAGGGCUCGUAGGCGGCCAACUAAGUCGGAUGUGAAAUCCCCAGGCUUAACCUGGGAAUUGCAUCCGAUACUGGAUGGCUUGAAUCCGGGAGAGGGAUGCGGAAUUCCAGGUGUAGCGGUGAAAUGCGUAGAUAUCUGGAGGAACACCGGUGGCGAAGGCGACGUCCUGGCCGGCAUUGACGCGUG
rnacentral:rRNA from 1 species